GAUGAACGCUGGCGGCGUGCCUAAUACAUGCAAGUCGAGCGAACGGACGAGAAGCUUGCUUCUCUGAUGUUAGCGGCGGACGGGUGAGUAACACGUGGAUAACCUCCCUAUAAGACUGGGAUAACUUCGGGAAACCGUAGCUAAUACCGGAUAAUAUUUUGAACCGCAUUGUUCAAAAGUGAAAUACGGUCUUGCUGUCACUAAUAGAUGGAUCCGCGCUGCAUUAGCUAGUUGGUAAGGUAACGGCUUACCAAGGCAACGAUGCAUAGCCGACCUGAGAGGGUGAUCGGCCACACUGGAACUGAGACACGGUCCAGACUACUACGGGAGGCAGCAGUAGGGAAUCUUCCGCAAUGGGCGAGAGCCUGACGGAGCAACGCCGCGUGAGUGAUGAAGGUCUUCGGAUCGUAAAACUCUGUUAUUAGGGAAGAACAUAUGUGUAAGUAACUGUGCACAUCUUGACGGUAACUAAUCAGAAAGCCACGGCUAACUACGUG
rnacentral:rRNA from 1 species